GCUAGCGUUGUUCGGAAUUACUGGGCGUCAAGCGCACGUAGGCGGAUACUUAAGUCAGGGGUGAAAUCCCGGGGCUCAACCCCGGAACUGCCUUUGAUACUGGGUAUCUCGAGUCCGGAAGAGGUGAGUGGAAUUCCGAGUGUAGAGGUGAAAUUCGUAGAUAUUCGGAGGAACACCAGUGGCGAAGGCGGCUCACUGGUCCGGUACUGACGCUGAGGUGCGAAAGCGUGGGGAGCAAACAGG
rnacentral:rRNA from 1 species